GACGAACGCUGGCGGCGUGCCUAAUACAUGCAAGUAGAACGCUGAAGCUUGGUGCUUGCACCGAGCGGAUGAGUUGCGAACGGGUGCGUAACGCGUAGGUAACCUGCCUGGUAGCGGGGGAUAACUAUUGGAAACGAUAGCUAAUACCGCAUAAGAGUAGAUGUUGCAUGACAUUUGCUUAAAAGGUGCAAUUGCAUCACUACCAGAUGGACCUGCGUUGUAUUAGCUAGUUGGUGAGGUAACGGCUCACCCAGGCCACGAUCCGUAGCCGACCGGAGAGGGUGCGAGGCCACACUGGGACGGAGACACGGCCCAGACCACUACGGGAGGGAGCAGUAGGGAAUCUUUGGCAAUGGACGGAAGUCUGACUGAGCAACGCCGCGUGAGUGAAGAAGGCUUUCGGAUCGCAAAGGUCUGUUGUAAGAGAAGAACGAGUGUGAGAGUGGAAAGUGCACACUGUGACGGUAUCGUACCAGAAAGGGACGGCUAACUACGUG
rnacentral:rRNA from 1 species